rnacentral:tRNA from 1 species
GGGGUUGUGGCUCAGGGGUAGAGCUUUCACCUAGCACGUGAAAGAUGCUGGGUUCAAUCCUCAGUAUCACA